rnacentral:lncRNA from 1 species
GCACCAUUUUUCAAAAUUUAAAAUUCAAGUCUGUUGUAUUUUCAGACCCAUAAUCAGAGUGGUUUCAUUUGCAAAUCACUAAGGAGACUGAGAACUCCAGAUAUUUAAUUUAUUCAAAUCACCCUGAGAGGUUCAUCUUCACCUCUGUAGUGUACUUUUAAUUUUAUUCUAAAUCUACUAAUUCUCAGCAAACCCUGAUAGGAUUUGGUUUCUGCAGUCAACUUUAAUCCCUUCAGAGUGGCCAAACCAAUGAAAAUGGUCAAUAGCUAAGGGGAUGGUCAAUAUGGUCAAUAAAUGGUCAAUACAGUAAGGGGAUCUAAAACUUCUCUCCAGUUUUGUGGAUCUGUAACUCAAAGAGAGCAUAACUGAAUUCCACAGCAGUAAAAGGCAACUUUGCAGUCUGAAUCUAACACAGAUUCAGAAUUUCAUUUUUGCUAUUUAUGACUUAAUAUUUUAUUGUUCAAGAAGGAAAACCUUAUUGUACUGAGCAAUUCCAUGUUGUGUCAUUGUAAAUAUUUCCAAUAUGGAGUCCAUCUGAACUACCAUUAUUAAUCCCCUUCACAAACAGCAGGGAAGUACAGAUAUUAGUGGGUGAUUCAGAUAAAUGUCUAAAAAAGAAGAACCCUGUAAUUGACGGGUUUUUCCCAAUGUUUAUACAGGAUCAUAGGGAACUCACUCAGAUGUAGACAUCCACAUUAGGGAUGGCUCCCUUCAGGUGAGAGAAGUUUCAUUUCUUUUCAGAAGAAACCAGUUCUGCCCUUUUCCCUGUCUGCUGGAGAGAAGAAUAAGAAAGCUGUUUCUCCUCCACAUGAUAGCAUCUGGAGAUAACAGAGAAGAGCCUUUGGGUUGAGCAUGUAGAGAAGAUGGAAGAAAGAAACAAAGAAGGAGGAAAAUCUGUGUGUGUGGAAUAACCAUGUUAAGAUCCUUGUCAGCCUUUUCCUGAGGCCAUCUUCUGUGACAUGGGAAAGGCAAAGGGCUGUGUUUAUUUGGGCAAUACUUCUGUUUGGCUUUCCAAGGACAAACAGACCACUGGAGAUGGUGAACACUCUGUGUGCACAUGGCCUUUUCUAAUGGACUGUGGUGGAGUGAUCUGGCAGUUUUGCCACUUUGAGGGUUCUUUGCUCUCUAGGUCACUGGCACAAAGAAUAUUUUUGAUGUCAACAUAGAACAAAGUUCCCUGUGAUCAGCUGCCUGUUUACUGCAAACUCACCUAUGGCUAAAGCCUGUUUAGAAGCAGAAGAAACUCCAGUACAGCAGGACAGUGAACCCUGGAGCAAAAGUCUAUAGCAAGCCUUCUCACAGGUGAAAACGAUGGGCUUGUCCACAUCAAAUUUUCUUUCUGCCAGGCUCCCUGACUGCUGGGACCCCAAAUUUCUUGACCAUCAAGGAGAAGGUUAUUUAGACUUUAUUUUUAUUAAGCAAACAAACACUUCCUCACAAGUAUCUGCAAAUCUGUCAUGGCUUCUCACACAACUCUGCACUGUUAAUUAAAUUGUGUUUCGCUAACACACACAUUGAAUAUAAAAAAUCAUUAAAUAAAUAACCUGCCUUUUCUCUUCA